rnacentral:misc_RNA from 1 species
GGAAGUAAAAGUCGUAACAAGGUUUCCGUAGGUGAACCUGCGGAAGGAUCAUUACUGAUUUGCUUAAUUGCACCACAUGUGUUUUGUUCUGGACAAACUUGCUUUGGCGGUGGGCCCCUGCCUGCCGCCAGAGGACAUAAACUUACAACCAAAUUUUUUAUAAACUUGUCACGAGAUUAUUUUUAAUAGUCAAAACUUUCAACAACGGAUCUCUUGGUUCUCGCAUCGAUGAAGAACGCAGCGAAAUGCGAUACGUAAUAUGAAUUGCAGAUAUUCGUGAAUCAUCGAAUCUUUGAACGCACAUUGCGCCCUCUGGUAUUCCGGAGGGCAUGCCUGUUUGAGCGUCGUUUCUCCCUCAAACCCCUAGGGUUUGGUGUUGAGCAAUACGACUUGGGUUUGCUUGAAAGAUGAUAGUGGUAUAAGGCGGAGAUGCUUGACAAUGGCUUAGGUGUAACCAAAAACAUUGCUAAGGCGGUCUCUGGCGUCGCCCAUUUUAUUCUUCAAACUUUGACCUCAAAUCAGGUAGGACUACCCGCUGAACUUAAGCAUAUCAAUAAGCGGAGGA